UGUCUGUCUCUCUCUCUCUCUCCCCGUUCUCCGUGUCUGUCUCUCUCUCUCUCUCUCCCCGUUCUCCGUGUCUGUCUCUCUCUCUCUCUCCCCGUUCUCCGUGUCUGUCUCUCUCUCUCUCCCCGUUCUCCGUGUCUGUCUCUCUCUCUCUCUCUCCCCGUUCUCCGUGUCUGUCUCUCUCUCUCUCCCCGUUCUCCGUGUCUGUCUCUCUCUCCCCGUUCUCCGUGUCUGUCUCUCUCUCCCCGUUCUCCGUGUCUGUCUCUCUCUCCCCGUUCUCCCCGGUCUCCGUGUCUCUCUCUCUCCCCGUUCUCCGUGUCUGUCUCUCUCUCCCCGUUCUCCGUGUCUGUCUCUCUCUCCCCGUUCUCCG